rnacentral:tRNA from 2 species
GGGUCAAUGCCCGAGUGGUUAAAGGGGGCGGAUUGUAAAUCCGCUAGUUAAUGCUUACGCUGGUUCGAAUCCAGCUUGGCCCA